GACGAACGCUGGCGGCGUGCCUAAUACAUGCAAGUCGAACGCUGAAGCGAGGAGCUUCCUCUUCUUGGGUGAGUUGCGAACGGGUGAGUAACGCGUAGAUAACCUGCCUUGUAGCGGGGGAGAAUUAUGGGAAACGAUAGCUAAUACCGCAUAACAAUGUAUUACACAGUUCAUUUAUGUGAAAUGGGCAAUUUCUCAACUACAAGACGGACUUGCGUUGUGUUAGCUGGUAGGUGAGGUACUGGCGCACCUAGGCGUCGGUACAUAGACGGCAUGAGAGGGCGGGCGGCCGCCCUGGGAGUGGGACACGGCACAGACUGCCACGGGGGGGCGCCGGAGGGAAUCUUCGGCCAUGGGGGCAAAACUGACCGAGCAACGCCGCGGGAGUGAAGAAGGUUGUCGGGUCGUAAAGCUCUGUUGUCAGUCAAGAACGGGUGUGAGAGUGGAAAGUUCACACUGUGACGGUAGCUUACCAGAAAGCGACGGCUAACUACGUG
rnacentral:rRNA from 1 species